rnacentral:rRNA from 1 species
UGCCAGCAGCCGCGGUAAUUUCCAGCUCCAAUAGCGUAUUAAUAAGUUGUUGCAGUCAAAAAGCUCGUAGUUGGAUUUCUGGUUUGGGUGGCCGGUCCAUGUCCUUGUGGCGUGCGCACUGGAGCCGCUUCCUUACCAUCCUUGCGGAGAUUGCGGCUGUCUUUUAUUAGCUGGGCGUAGGAUCUGCAUCAUUUACUGUGAAAAAAUUAGAGUGUUUAAAGCAGGCAUCUGCUCUGAAUACAUUAGCAUGGAAUAAUAAAAUAGGUCUUUGGAGCUAUUUCGUUGGUUUGCGCUUCAAGGAAAUGAUUAAUAGGGAUAGUUGGGGGUAUUCGUAUUUAAUUGUCAGAGGUGAAAUUCUUGGAUUUAUGAAAGACGAACUACUGCGAAAGCAUUUACCAAGGAUGUUUUCAUUAAUCAAGAACGAAAGUUAGGGGAUCGAAGAGGAUUAGAUACCCUCGUAGUCUUAACCAUAAACUAUGCCGACUAGGGAUUGGAGGGCGCAAUUAAUGACCCCUUCAGCACCUUAUGAGAAAUCAAAGUCUUUGGGUUCCGGGGGGAGUAUGGUCGCAAGGCUGAAACUUAAAGGAAUAGACGGAAGGGCACCACCAGGGGUGGAACCUGCGGCUUAAUUUGACUCAACACGGGAAAGCUUACCAGGUCCAGACAUAGUAAGGAUUGACAGAUUGAGAGCUCUUUCUUGAUUCUAUGGGUGGUGGCGCAUGGCCGUUCUUAGUUGGUGGAGUGAUUUGUCUGGUUAAUUCCGUCAACGAACGAGACCUCCGCCUGCUAAAUAGUACCGCGAUUCUUCCAAUCGCGAGAACUUCUUAGAGGGACAUUGGGUUUUUAGCCCAAGGAAGUUGGAGGCAAUAACAGGUCUGUGAUGCCC